GACGUAGGAUCCAAGCGUUGUCCGGAUUUACUGGGCGUAAAGGGUGCGCAGGCGGCCUUAUAAGUCAGUGGUGAAAUCUCACAGCUUAACUGUGAAACUGCCUUUGAUACUGUAGGUCUUGAAUUAGGGAGAGAUUCGUGGAAUUCCGAGUGUAGCAGUGAAAUGUGUAGAUAUUCGGAAGAACACCAGAGGCGAAGGCAGCGAAUUGGCCCUAUAUUGACGCUCAGGCACGAAAGCAUGGGGAUCAAACAGG
rnacentral:rRNA from 1 species